rnacentral:lncRNA from 1 species
UUAAAACUUAGUAAAAUUUUAGCGGUGUUACAACGAUGAGAUGAUGACUCGGUAUAUAUAAAGAUAACAGAUCGCGUGAUAUCUCUAUUUCACGUAAGCUUAAGUUAUCCAAACUCCACACCACUUAAAACAUGGUUGCGUUGAUGAGAACCCAGUUUUGAUGGAUCACUCACGCACAUGUCAUGUACACACUUCUGGCGAGACAAGUAAGCACGUGUUCUACCUCUUCUCUACACC